GCUUAACACAUGCAAGUCGCACGGGCAGUAGCAAUACUGUCAGUGGCGGACGGGUGAGUAACGCGUAGGAAUCUAUCCUUGAAUGGGGGACAACCGUGGGAAACUACGGCUAAUACCGCAUGAUGCCUGAGGGCCAAAGACGAAAGUCGUUUGAGGAGGAGCCUGCGUCUGAUUAGGUAGUUGGUGGGGUAAAGGCCUACCAAGCCUACGAUCAGUAGCUGGUCUGAGAGGAUGAUCAGCCACAUUGGGACUGAGACACGGCCCAAACUCCUACGGGAGGCAGCAGUGGGGAAUAUUGGACAAUGGGCGCAAGCCUGAUCCAGCAAUGCCGCGUGGGUGAAGAAGGUCUUCGGAUUGUAAAGCCCUUUUGGCGGGGACGAUGAUGACGGUACCCGCAGAAUAAGCUCCGGCUAACUUCGUG
rnacentral:rRNA from 1 species